rnacentral:rRNA from 1 species
UACAGAGGGUGCGAGCGUUGUCCGGAAUCACUGGGCGUAAAGGGCGCGUAGGCGGCCUGAUAAGUAGGGGGUGAAAUCCUGUGGCUUAACUGCAGGGCUGCCUCCUAGACUGUUGGGCUCGAGCACGGUAGAGGCAGAUGGAAUUCCCGGUGUAGCGGUGGAAUGCGUAGAGAUCGGGAAGAACAUCGGUGGCGAAGGCGGCGACCUGGUCCGUGACUGACGCUGAGGCGCGAAAGCGUGGGGAGCAAACAGG